GUAAACUUAUGCAUGCCUGGUCAGCAUUUUACGGUCUGUCUCUGCUGUUCUACUUAACUCUGUCUGUUCACACAAUCCAGAAGGAUAUAGCCGUCUCUCCACACAGACGUGCACCUGUUGUCUGGUGUAGCGGCUUUGCUGUUUCCUGCCUGUCUCACUUGGGACCGUUUAGUGCAUCAUAACAUUUCAUCCCCGUAGUAUAAAGUACAUAUAAAAUACUCCACCUGUCUUCCAGCACUGAAGACUUUUGUUCUGUUACAGAUCUAGUCUCAUCAUUAACAAGCUGCUGGUGCUCUGAGACUGAGCACAGGGAGCGAGGGGAGCUGAUAACGUGGCAUAGAGUUACAGAGCCAUCUGUGGAAGUGGCACCAUUACAUCAGCUUUGGGCACAGACCUGCCGUACUGCAAGAGUGUUCUCUGGCAGAGAUGGGCGGCAGCUCAUCACUGAUUUUUGGCAGAAGCAUCUCUCUCCGGUUGAGAUGGGCUGUUCGAGCGGCACCGGGUUCUGCACCGGGCAGUUCUGUACUGCAUGUCCCUGUUAUUCAACCAUCUUGGGGAAAAGCCUUGCCCGCGGCAAAGGCCAAUUUGUGUUCCUCUCAGGGAGGAUAGAGGGGUUUCCUCCUGAGACCGGAGAGGAACAGAUUGUGGAAUUACUAUUGGGCUACAGGAGUACCGGACCUGCAGGCUUCUGGCACAUGAAGAAUCACUGGAGCAUAUGUCGCCAGCAUGAUUCAUUCAUUUACAUUUAUAGAGUGGAAGUGGGCCAGGUAGCACACCGUGGUGACUGUCAACAGCACCUCCAUCUUCACACACUUCACAUACACCCGUCCCACCAUCCGACCAUAUGUCCCGAGAAACACAAUUUCUAAUGGACAAGGACAGCUGUAUCAGGUAUUUGGUUUCGCUAAUCAAGUGAGACCUUUCACUGAAUGCUGCUUACUCUCAGUUAGUCCUAGUGAGCAGCAUAGCCAUCCUUCCCCUGAGCAUUACAUCAUUCUGAGGGACAACCGAGCCAAUCAACAGCCUGGCAGGAUUACGCAGCAUAUGGGCAUGUCCUGACUGUGAGGGAGAGCUAAACAGAGCAACUGUCAAUGGUGAAAUGGUGUGUGGGUGUCGUACACAGUAAUGGGUCAAUCACUCCGAAAAUAAGACUUUUUCUUCUGACUGAGCACGGAAGAGCUCUGUUCUCACCUAAUGUUGUGAAGCAUACUUAAAGGAGAGAGAGGCCUAACAUGACCUGUCCUGAUCCACAUCCCCAUCUAUUCACAAAGUGGUCCACGAGCCUGCGAUGCAAAGCAAAGCGACAAUGGGAUCAGUCCGCAUUUGCAUUAUGAGCACACAAUGCAUGACACAAGCUUGCCCAGAGAGAUAUUUCUGCUCAGAAAAUAUCUGGCUUCAGAAGGAUGUGUCUGCAGUGCUCAGCAUCACUCCACUGACUAUGUCUCUUGCUUAUUAACAAACCAGCCUGUCACUUUAUAAACCCUGUUUCAGCUUUCCCUCAGCCGCACACACAUACACAUCAUGAAAUACACUUAGACAAUGACAAACACACAAAUUGUCCAGUCAGUUUAAGUGAAACUCUCACCGUGCACAUGUCAUGUUAGUCACACAGAGCAUGUUGAGGUUUUAAUACAGUAAUGCAUACUAGAAAUGUUAUUAAGAAGGUGGGAAUAAUGAUUAAAAAAAAAAUAAAAAAAAUUGGGGGGUUUCCAAAUUCUUUUAUACCCACAAUUAACCAUGAUGCUGCUGUGAUGCUGAAAAAUGUGUCCUAUCUAGUUUGCUUAUAUUUCUUAACAUAAUGUAAUGUAAUGGUAAGAGGACAACUAACG
ensembl:lncRNA